UAUAGUGAUGAAUAUAAUCACAAUUGUCACUACCUCUGAGGCAAUGUAUUUCUCGUUUUAUUUUGUUACUUGUGUAUAUUAUUAAGCCUUGUG